rnacentral:rRNA from 1 species
UGGGGAAUAUUGGACAAUGGGCGAAAGCCUGAUCCAGCAAUGCCGCGUGUGUGAAGAAGGUCUUCGGGAUUGUAAAGCACUUUCGACGGGGACGAUGAUGACGGUACCCGUAGAAGAAGCCCCGGCUAACUUCGUGCCAG